rnacentral:misc_RNA from 1 species
CUGCUCACUGCGCAACAAAACAGCAAGUCGGCAGCACGAGGAGCCGUCGGGGCUGCUGCACAUUUCGUCGAGCACCCUGCGCACAUCGGAAAGGAGCAAGGGAAGGGGCUUUGCGCAGGGCUGCUAUUUUUGGAUCGAAGGGCUGGGCGCAGGGACUUGGACGCCGUGGCUGCAGUCCGAGCAGGGGCUCCUUGCUGCCGCACUAGGGAAAAAGAGGAAGGGGCGAGCAGCAGCAGGGGAGGGAGGCUGGCUGGGAGGAAGAUGAAUAGGGAGGGCACUGGAAAAAAAAAAUUUGGGCGUCCAUGGGAGUGGUUGCCGCUGCUUUGUGAAGUAGCUCGACCAGGGACAGAGAGGGGCGAGCUACAGAGGGGCAUCCAUGGGAGAAACCCGAGCUGCUGCAGCGCCAUGGACAUGGAGCACGCCGAGAGCGGGCCAGGGAGCUUCUGCGCGCAGGGGAAAGGCUCCUUGCUGGAGAGGUCCGUAGGGGCGCACGUCGGGGGGAGGAUAGGGAGCACCGGCCAGGGAGAGGCCGCUGGCGACCUGCAGGGAGGGAGCGCCAUGGAGAAGAAACCGAGCUCCCUGCUGGUUGCCGUGGAGACCAGGGAAGAAGAAAAAGGGGCGCCGGCUGCUGCUGCGCGAGGGAGAAGGAGUAGUGGGCGUCGAGCAGCUGUAGCCGAGGGGGAGAAUGGGAGGACGCCAUGGGAGGAGAGGGAGCUUGCUGGUGGCUGUUGGUGCCGUGAGCAGCGAGAAAGAAGAAGGCAGGGAGAGAAGAAAGUGGUGGCCAGGGAAAAGUGA